AUUCUCUUUCUAAAUAACACCACUAAUAGAAAUAAAAAAAAAGGUAAUCUUCAAAUACCACUUCUGUGUUUUUACACUUUCUCACUUUAGUAUCUUGUGGUUUAAAGUGUAUCAAUUUAGUACCCCGUGGUUUCAUUUUUCUCUUUUUGUCAGAUUUUUUUCGUUAAAUCAGUGACAAAGUUAAACUAAAAGGUAUUAAAGUAAAUAUGUGAUAAAUCUAAGUGGGAUAUCUGAAGUUUUUGUAUAUAAUUUAACAAAAUGUUAACGAAAGAGCUGACGAAAAGAGCAAAAUAAAGCCACAAAGGUAAUAAAUUGAUAUACUUUAAAACAUAGAAUAAUAAAGUAAGAAAGUGCGAAACUACAGAGGUGGUAUUUAAAGUUUACCCUAAAAAAAACAACAACAACAACAACAGAAGCAAAGAGCUAUGUACACUGAAAUUUGAUCAAUAUUUUCUAUCUGAAUUUGAUCAAAUCCAUUAUAUCUGAUAUGUACAUUACAAAAUAUGACUGGAUCGAAUUGUAGUGACAAGAGAAGAAGUUUGAAGGAUACAAAUUAAUUUUCCUCCUACACAUGAUAUAUAUAUAUAAAACUACGCUGCUAUGCUAUUGAUAGCACAAAGCGCUUGGUGCUAUUAGAUUUUCAACCCUUGAGCGAAGAAAUGUGUGGUCAGGAUAUAAUAGUAGUUUUCUAAAGUUAGUAGAUAGUUGAUUGAAUAGCAUAUAUGAUUUAGCAGAUGAAAAUGAUCAAAAGAUAGAUUUAGCAGCAGAAGACUCGAUAGUAUCAAAUGCUUAAUACUAUUAAUAGUAUAAUAGCCUAAUUAUAUAUAUAUAUUAUAUAUAUAUACAUAUGUAUGUAUAAUAUUCAACAAUGCAACAAAUAGCUAGCUAGCUAGCUAGCUAGCGUCAAAUUAAGUAAAAAUAAGUAGAGAUCGAGUGCUGCCUGCGUCCGGAGGAUCUCCAGUAUAUAUAUAUAUAUAUAUAUAUAUAUAUAUAUAUAUAUAUAUAUAUAUAUAAUAUUUUAAAUAUUUAUUUUAAUAAUUAAUAUAUAUUAAUNAAAAUAUCAGAAAGAUUUUUCCAACAAUUGAAAGUUAGGAAUUUAAUUUUUGUUCUUUUAAAAAAGCUUGGUAUCCAUGAUUUCAUAAUAAUAUAUUAAACCGAGGCGAUCUAUAUUAUUACAAAAAAAACCUUACAAUUUGAAUAUAAUAUUUUAAAUUAUUUGUGUAUUGAUAAAAUUCAUAUAGAAUUCUCAAUUACAUCUAAUUGUCCAGAUUGUCAAUAGAAGUAGUAGUGUUAGUGGUUAAUAUUUUUAUCAUUCAGAUAUGACAAGAUUGAUUCAAUGUAUCUUACCAAAAUUUACAUCUUUUGUUUAAUGAAAAAUCAAAGAUAACUCUUGAAUAUUAAAUCUCUUUCUAAAUAACACCACUAAUAGAAAUAAAAAAAAAGGUAAUCUUCAAAUACCACUUCUGUGUUUUUACACUUUCUCACUUUAGUAUCUUGUGGUUUAAAGUGUAUCAAUUUAGUACCCCGUGGUUUCAUUUUUCUCUUUUUGUCAGAUUUUUUUCGUUAAAUCAGUGACAAAGUUAAAACUAAAAGGUAUUAAAGUAAAUAUGUGAUAAAUCUAAGUGGGAUAUCUGAAGUUUUUGUAUAUAAUUUAACAAAAUAUUAACGAAGGAGCUGAUGGAAAAAGCAAAAUAAAACCACAAAGGUAAUAAAUUGAUAUACUUUAAAACAUAGAAUACUAAAAUAAGAAAGUGCGAAACUACAGAGAUAAUAUUUAAAGUUUACCCUAAAAGCAGCAACAACAACAACAACAACAACAACAACA
rnacentral:lncRNA from 1 species